AGUCAGAAGUCCCUAUAGACUACACAAGAAACAACUGUUUUUGCCGUAAGAAAAUUUAGUUCUUCCUCUCAUUCAUUCCAAAACAGAUUAAUGGUUUUUAUUUAUAUAGUGGAGAAGGAAACAACCCCUCUGAUAAAAAAAAAAACAAACCUGCAACUAUUUAGCUUCUCUUAACAGAGCCUUCAGGAGAAGAUGCCACAGGGAAAUGCUGCUCUCAAGUGACACUGAUCAGAGCAUCAUCUCCACACAGAACUCCGGGUGACACAAGAGAUGCUCAGAGAAAAAAAGGUAUAACUGACAAAAGGUCACAGGUCAAGAGUGAGGUAAGAGAAAACAAUAAACUUCCCAUGUAAAAAAGAAGGUGGUUUCCUACAUCCAAAUUCUCACAUGGAGCCAUGAGAGCCUUCAGAAGAUGCCAAUGGGUCCAGGUGAGGCCACGCACCCCUGGGUCCAGGUGAGGCCACGCGCCCCUGGACCCAGGUGAGGCUGGGUCCCUGGGCCCGGGUGAGGCCACGCGCCCCUGGGUCCGGGUGAGACCACGCGACACUGGACCCAGAUGAGGCUGGGUCCCUGGGCCCGGGUGAGGCCUUGCGCCCCUGGGUACGGGUGAAGCCGGAUCCUGGGUCCGGGUAAGGCCGUGUGCCCCUGGAUCCAUCCGGGUGAGGCUGGGUCCCGGGCCCGGGUGAGGCCACGCGCCCCUUGGGUCUGGGUGAGGCCACGUGCCCCUUAGUCCGGGUGAAGCCGUGCCCCUGGGUCCGGCCGAGACCAAACCAGAGGGAGUCGGACCUCCGUUACCACCAUUUGUCCACCAUCCAGAGCAGAGGGGUCAGUGCUGACAUGUACACAUAAGGAA